AGUGCGACAGACAGCCUCAGAGCUGGUGGGGAGACAGCAUGCCACUGGAAAAAUUCGUAGACAUGGAAUUCCUGGAUCAAAUGAUACUAAGGGGGACUUGCCUGGAAGCAGACUUGUGUCCGCAGUAUACAAACUCACCCUUUAAUGCACACACUGACCAGAUAACACAAACACAUUUACCCCCACAGCACCUAGACUCUUCUCACAGUACACACACUUGCCUUCCAGUACACAGACAUAUCCAAAGGCACACCGACAAGCACCACAGCAAAAAGAUGUUCCCCAGAACACAUGGACACCCCAAUCCCCGUAUCAUUAGACUCUCCCAGAGGCACGUAUGUACUGCUUAAUGCAGAGACUCACCUGAGGCACACUGAUGCACCCCGCAUGACACAGACUUGCCCCCCCAUAAGGACUCUACUAUGACACACAGACAAUCCCAACAUCACACACUGUUCCCACAUCACACGAACCCAUUUUAGGAAACACACAGCAUACAGACUUACCCCAUAGAACACGGCUUCCCCGACAAGCACACAUACUCUCAAGGCCAGUAGACUCACCCCACAGCACACAGACUUUCUCUAGAGUGUACAGCUUCUUCCCACAGCAAACAGACUCUCCCCAGGGCACACAGACACCCCUGACAUCACAUACUCUCACCACAGACCAUAGACUCGUCCUAGAGCACAGGGACUCUUGCCAAUGAAACAGACUUUCCCGAGAAUAGACUCAUGAGACAGCUUGAAGACCCGCAUCAUGACACAAAGACUCUCCCACAACAGACAGACUCACCCCAUUGUGUACAGACAAGCACCAUAGGCCACAGACCAUCACCUCAGGACACAGACUUGCCCAGCACCACACAGACACUCUGCAGAGCACGUAGAGUCACCCCGCAAAGCACAGACUAAACCCAUACUACAGAGACUCUCCCUAUAGCUUUCAGACAAGUUUACCCCACCACAGAGACAUGCAACGGUACAUCUUACAACAUAUAUCACUCCUUGAUGCACACAAUUGUGCCACAGCACACAAACUUGUCCUACAGUGCACAAAUUCAUGUCACAAAAGACACACUCACCACACAAUACAAAUACUUGCUCCAGCCGGACGCGGUGGCUCACGCCUGUUAUCCCAGCACUUUGGGAGGCCUAGGCAGGUGGAUCACCUGACGUUGGGAGUUCGAGACCAGUCUCACCAACAUGGAGAAACCCCGUCUCCACUAAAAAUACAAAAUUAGCCGGGCAUGGUGGUGCAUGCCUGUAAUCUCAGCUGCUCCGGAGGCUGAGGCAGGAGAAUCGCUUGAACCCAAGAGGCGGAGGUUGCAGUGAGCCAAGAUUGUGCCACUGCACUCCAGCCUGGGCAACAAGGGCAAAACUUUGCCUCAAAAAAAAUAAAAAAAUAAAAAAAAAAACAACCCAGCAACAAAAACAAACAAAAAAAAACAAUUACUUGCUCCAGAGUUCACUCAUUUGCCCUAAAAUAUCUAGACCUUACCCCAGAGUUACCACACAAUGCAUGCUGUGUCCCUGCAUCACCAAAAUACAACUCAAACUCCUCAGACACACUCUGAUAAAUAGACAUACCUGACAAUGUACAGCUUGGCAUCAUAGCAGGAAAAACUGGCUCUACAACAGAUUUAUUCUACAACAGACACACUCAGGCUGUAGAGACACCUAAUCUUUCUUUAAGGUAUUCAGACCCACCCUUUUGGGCACAGUCACAGAUGUGAUCCAGGAUACCCUCACCCAUCCCACAAUACUGAUGCAACCCACAGCGUACAAACACAUCCCACAGCAUAACACUCUAAGCCCACAGUGCUCAGAAAUGUCAGGCACACAUUUGCCAUACAGAUUUACUUCACACACAAAAAACACAGCCAGGUGGGUGGCUCAUGCCUGUAAUCCCAGCACUUUGGGAGUCCGAGGCGGGCGGAUCACAAGGUCAGGGGUUCAGGACCAGCCUGUCCAACAUGGUGAAACCCCGUCUCUACUAAAAAUACAAAAAAAUUAGCCGGGCAUGGUGGCACAUGCUUGUAGUCCCAGCUACUCGGGAGGCUGAGGCAGGAGAAUCACUUGAACCCAGGAGGUGGAGGUUGCAGUGAGCCGAGAUCAUGCCAUUGCACUCCACCUUGGGCAACAGAGUGAGACUUCGUCUAAAAAAAAAAGAAAGAAAGAAAGAAACAAACAAGAAAACAACAACAAAAAACACUUCUUAUAGUGCCUAUACAAUGCAAACAUGUAUCCCAAAAUAUAUGAAACUAUUUGCUAUGUCACUCUUAGGUUUACCCCAAAGCACAUAGACCGUUUUCACUGCUCAAGCUGCUGCCUACAAAACAGGAGAUGCCAAGCCAUGCACAGAAAUUCACCAAAAUGCACAGAUUCACCUAUCAAUAUACAUACUUGCCUCACAACUCACACAAACACCACCGAGCACUGAGACUCACCCUAAAUGUACAGACAAGCCCUUCAGGGCACAGACUUACUCUGUAACAUACUAAAUCACAUCCCCCAUACUUAGAUGUGCCUUAUGAUUCACAGUGAUGCGUGUAAACACAUAGAUUGCUUCCACAAUGCACAGAAUUGCAUCAUAACACAGACUUACUCUACAGUGCAAAACUGACAGUGCACAUAAACAUUUCCCAGUCGGCUAGACACACAACACACAUAUUACUCCUACAAUGUAAAGAUUUCCAUCACGGUGGACAGACGUGCUUUUCCAUGCUGUUGAGCUACAACUCUGGCCUACAACAACAGAAAUACAGCUUGUGUAAUAGUUACCAGCAAGGCCUCUAGACCCAUACUAACUGGGUUUGAAUCAAGGUCCCGUCCCUUGCUGAUUGUAUCACCUUGGGAGGAGAUGGAAGAUUGAGAGCAGAGUGCAAGAAUGGGAAGAGGGCUUCGUGCCCUGUGCACGUUUGCCACCUAGUGACCAAACUGAGCUGGAGUGCAAUGGCGCAAUCUCGGCUCACUGCAACCUCUGCCUUCCGGGUUCAAGCGAUUCUCCUGCCUCAGCCUCCCAAGUAGCUGGGAUUGCAUGCAUGUGCCACCACGCCCAACUAAUUUUUGUAUAUUUAGCAGAGACGGGGUUUUCCAUGUUUGUCAGGCUGGUCUCGAUCUCCCAACCUCAGAUGAUCUGCCUGCCUUGGCCUCCCAAAGUGCUGGGAUUACAGGCAUGAGUCACCACGCCCAGCCUUUAAUUUAUUAUAUUCUAUAAAUAUAAGAACUUGAGGCUACAGAUUUGAAUUAACAAUUUUAUAGGAAAUAUUCAUAAUUUAUUUGGCAAAGGCAGUAUUCAUAUAAAAAUAAUCAACAAAAUCAGAUUUACUUUCAGAAAAAGUGUCUGACUUCAUUUUUCAAGGAAAAAAUAUUAAUAUACGUUUUGAGGUGCAUUAUUAAAACCAUGGAUAAAUCAAUUAUGGAGCACCUUGUUAAAUAACUAGCAAAGUAAAUAUCAUAUUAAAAUAAAUAUGA
ensembl:lncRNA LINC00632 long intergenic non-protein coding RNA 632